rnacentral:rRNA from 1 species
CAGCAGCCACGGGAAUACGUAGGGUGCAAGCGUUGUCCGGAAUUAUUGGGCGUAAAGAGCUCGUAGGCGGUUUGUCGCGUCUGCUGUGAAAUCCCGAGGCUCAACCUCGGGCUUGCAGUGGGUACGGGCAGACUAGAGUGCGGUAGGGGAGAUUGGAAUUCCUGGUGUAGCGGUGGAAUGCGCAGAUAUCAGGAGGAACACCGAUGGCGAAGGCAGAUCUCUGGGCCGUAACUGACGCUGAGGAGCGAAAGCGUGGGGAGCGAACAGGAUUAGAUACCCCUGUAGUCCCUGUCUCUUAUAC